rnacentral:misc_RNA from 1 species
AAGUCGUAACAAGGUUUCCGUAGGUGAACCUGCGGAAGGAUCAUUAUAAAAUUUAUCAUAUAUUAAAUUUAUUUAAUAUAUAAAAUUUAUACAAAAAUGUAUUCAAAAACCCACACUCUUUAUAACCAUAAAAAAAUAUAUUAUAUAUUUAUAAUAUAAUAUAAAAAAAAACAACUUUCAACAACGGAUCUCUUGGCUCUC